rnacentral:rRNA from 1 species
AUGAACGCUGGCGGCGUGCCUCAUACAUGCAAGUCGAGCGAACAGACGAGGAGCUUGCUCCUCUGACGUUAGCGGCGGACGGGUGAGUAACACGUGGAUAACCUACCUAUAAGACUGGGAUAACUUCGGGAAACCGGAGCUAAUACCGGAUAAUAUAUUGAACCGCAUGGUUCAAUAGUGAAAGACGGUUUUGCUGUAACUUAUAGAUGGAUCCGCGCCGCAUUAGCUAGUUGGUAAGGUAACGGCUUACCAAGGCAACGAUGCGUAGCCGACCUGAGAGGGUGAUCGGCCACACUGGAACUGAGACACGGUCCAGACUCCUACGGGAGGCAGCAGUAGGGAAUCUUCCGCAAUGGGCGAAAGCCUGACGGAGCAACGCCGCGUGAGUGAUGAAGGUCUUCGGAUCGUAAAACUCUGUUAUUAGGGAAGAACAAAUGUGUAAGUAACUAUGCACGUCUUGACGGUACCUAAUCAGAAAGCCACGGCUAACUACGUG